GACGAACGCUGGCGGCGUGCUUAACACAUGCAAGUCGAACGAAGUGGCGAACGGGUGAGUAACGCGUAAUCAACCUGCCCUUCAGAGGGGGACAACAGUUGGAAAAGACUGCUAAUACCGCAUACUGAAGGAGGGGAUUGCGUCUGAUUAGCUGGUUGGAGGGGUAACGGCCCACCAAGGCGAUGAUCAGUAGCCGGUCUGGUGGGAUGAACGGCCACAUUGGGACGUGGACACGGCCCAGACUCCUACGGGAGGCAGCAGGGGGGAAUCUUCCGCGAUGGACGAAAGUCUGACGGAGCAACGCCGCGUGAGGGAGGACGGCCUUCGGGUUGGAAAGCUCUGUUAAUCGGGACGCGGUACCGGAAUAGAAAGCCACGGCUAACUACGUGCCAGCAGCCGCGGUAAUUC
rnacentral:rRNA from 1 species